rnacentral:rRNA from 1 species
CUUCCAGACUCCUACGGGAGGCAGCAGUGAGGAAUAUUGGUCAAUGGGCGGGAGCCUGAACCAGCCAAGUCGCGUGAGGGAAGACGGUCCUACGGAUUGUAAACCUCUUUUGCCGGGGAGCAACGGGGUCCUUGCGAGGGCCCAAUGAGAGUACCCGGAGAAAAAGCAUCGGCUAACUCCGUGCCAGCAGCCGCGGUAAUACGGAGGAUGCGAGCGUUAUCCGGAUUUAUUGGGUUUAAAGGGUGCGUAGGCGGGCUGUUAAGUCAGCGGUAAAAUGUCGGGGCUCAACCCCGGCCUGCCGUUGAAACUGGUUGACUUGAGUAUAUUUGAGGUAGGCGGAAUGCGUGGUGUAGCGGUGAAAUGCAUAGAUAUCACGCAGAACUCCGAUUGCGAAGGCAGCUUACUAAACUAUAACUGACACUGAAGCACGAAAGCGUGGGGAUCAAACAGGAUUAGAUACCCCAGUA